rnacentral:rRNA from 1 species
AUUGAACGCUGGCGGCAGGCCUAACACAUGCAAGUCGAGCGAGCGGCGGACGGGUGAGUAAUGCCUGGGAAUUGCCCAGUCGAGGGGGAUUACAGGUGGAGACGACUGCUACUACCGCAUACGCUUGGAUUGUGCAGGUGGGGUUGGCUAGUUGGUGAGGUAAUGGCUCACCAAGGCGACGAUCCCUAGCUGGUCUGAUGGGAUGGCCGGCAACACUGGAACUGAGAAACGGCCCGAACUCCUAGGGGGGGCAGCAGAGGGGAAUAUUGCACAAGGGGGGAAGUCCGGAUGCAGCCAUGCCGCGUGUGUGAAGAAGGCCUUCGGGUUGUAAAGCACUUUCUGCGAGGAGGCGUUACUCACAGAAGAAGCACCGGCUAACUCCGUGCCAGCAGCCGCGGUAAUAC